UGUCUAAGUCUUGUGAAAAUGUUUAUCUUUAAAUCAUGUGUGUUAACAUUUCAGAGGAAUUUGAUUAAAGGUAUUUGGGCAGAAAAACAUAUAAUCCUCUAGUUGGUAUGUGUUUAAAUAAUCUUUAGUGUUUUGUUUAAAAGGACUGCACAAAAAUACAGCUUUUUUUGUUUAUCGGUGAUAUCCCUAGAAAUAUGUUUUUCAGGAACUUGAAAGCAUCGCACUUUCUUAUAUUUUUAAUCACUCUCUGAUCCCAUAAAUAUGUUGCUGAAAAAUGACUUAGAAGCCAUCUCAGCUUCAAGUGCUGAAAAUUAAUAACUGAACAGAAUGGUUAAUCAUUAUAAAUUCUCUCAUGUUUUACAGUAAUUGCUGAUACUGUAAGCUGUCAAAGAGUAAUACAGAGCAAAACUUAGAGUAAUUUCCAUAUGAGAGGAGUAGGUACCAAAGCUAUAAAUAAUACUGUUAGAGAGAAUCACUGAAUUCUUUAUAGAGAAGUGUAUUCACUGUUUGAUUGCAAAGAUUCUCAAAAGGAAGAAAUAAUCUUAUGGAAGAGAACAGAAUGAAAUGGCUGCAGAUGAACCUGACCCAGUAUUUACUUGUGUAUAAGUGAAGAAAAACAAGUUAGAAAAUCAAGGAAGGGGUAGGCUGUUGUUAUCAUCUGGAAGCAUGAUGGAAAUCCUGUACUUGAUUGCCUUCAAGCCUUAUGUAGUAAACAUGAUUAUUAAUUUUUGUUCUUAAUAACACAUUUUAGAUGAGUAAAAAGAGAUCUCAAGAUGCCCUUAUCACUUUUCAGAGUUUAAUCAACAUUCAGGAUAAUUUCCAAUUUAAGUUUGCAAAACUGCAACCAUUAUUCUUGCUGCCCUUUCUACAUAUGAAUCAUAAGCUGUAAAAUCAUAAACAGUUCUUAUAUGUUGCAAAACCCUGUGCUUGCUUGUGCAUAUCUUCCACUGCAUAACAAGGUCUUAGACUUUGAUAGCAUUCCCUCCUCACACAGCACCGCCCACCAACUCACAUUACUCAUAUUAGUGAAAAUUAAUCAGCAGAAAAAAACAAACAAACAAACAAAAAAAAACCAAAA